rnacentral:rRNA from 1 species
GAUGAACGCUGGCGGCGUGCCUAAUACAUGCAAGUCGAGCGGUAAGGCCCUUUCGGGGGUACACAAGCGGCGGACGGCUGAGUAACACGUAGGAACGUACCCCAAAGUGAGGGAUAAGCACCAGAAAUGGUGUCUAAUACCGCAUGUGCUCUAAGGAGUAAAGCUUCGGCGCUUUGGGAACGGCCUGCGUCCGAUUAGCUAGUUGGUAAGGUAAAAGCUUACCAAGGCGACGAUCGGUAGCUGGUCUGAGAGGAUGAUCAGCCAGACUGGGACUGAGACACGGCCCAGACUCCUACGGGAGGCAGCAGUAGGGAAUUUUCCACAAUGGGCGAAAGCCUGAUGGAGCAACGCCGCGUGCAGGAUGAAUGCCUUCGGGUUGUAAACUGCUUUUAUCUGUGACGAUUAUGACGGUAGCAGAUGAAUAAGGAUCGGCUAACUCCGUGCCAGCAGCCGCAGUAA